GAUGAACGCUGGCGGCGUGCCUAAUACAUGCAAGUCGAGCGAACGGACGAGAAGCUUGCUUCUCUGAUGUUAGCGGCGGACGGGUGAGUAACACGUGGAUAACCUACCUAUAAGACUGGGAUAACUUCGGGAAACCGGAGCUAAUACCGGAUAAUAUUUUGAACCGCAUGGUUCAAAAGUGAAAGACGGUCUUGCUGUCACUUAUAGAUGGAUCCGCGCUGCAUUAGCUAGUUGGUAAGGUAACGGCUUACCAAGGCAACGAUGCAUAGCCGACCUGAGAGGGUGAUCGGCCACACUGGAACUGAGACACGGUCCAGACUCCUACGGGAGGCAGCAGUAGGGAAUCUUCCGCAAUGAGCGAAAGCCUGACGGAAGCACGCCGCGUGAGUGAUGAANGUCUUCGGAUCGUAAAACUCUGUUUAUUAGGAAGAACAUAUGUGUAAGNUACUGUGCACAUCUUGACGGUACCUAAUCAGGAAGCCACGGCUAACUACGUGCCAGCAGCCGCGGUUAUACGUAGGUGGGCAGCGUUAUCCGGGAUUUAUUGGGCGUAAGCGCGCGUAGCGGUUUUUUAGUCUGAUGUGAAAGCCCACGGCUCAACCGUGGAGGGUCAUUGGAAACUGGAAAACUUGAGUGCAGAAGAGGAAAGUGGAACUCCAUGUGUAGCGGUGAAAUGCGCAGAGAUAUGGAGGAACACCAGUGGCGAAGGCGACUUUCUGGUCUGUAACUGACGCUGAUGUGCGAAAGCGUGGGGAUCAAACAGGAUUAGAUACCCUGGUAGUCCACGCCGUAAACGAUGAGUGCUAAGUGUUAGGGGGUUUCCGCCCCUUAGUGCUGCAGCUAACGCAUUAAGCACUCCGCCUGGGGAGUACGACCGCAAGGUUGAAACUCAAAGGAAUUGACGGGGACCCGCACAAGCGGUGGAGCAUGUGGUUUAAUUCGAAGCAACGCGAAGAACCUUACCAAAUCUUGACAUCCUCUGACCCCUCUAGAGAUAGAGUUUUCCCCUUCGGGGGACAGAGUGACAGGUGGUGCAUGGUUGUCGUCAGCUCGUGUCGUGAGAUGUUGGGUUAAGUCCCGCAACGAGCGCAACCCUUAAGCUUAGUUGCCAUCAUUAAGUUGGGCACUCUAAGUUGACUGCCGGUGACAAACCGGAGGAAGGUGGGGAUGACGUCAAAUCAUCAUGCCCCUUAUGAUUUGGGCUACACACGUGCUACAAUGGACAAUACAAAGGGUAGCGAAACCGCGAGGUCAAGCAAAUCCCAUAAAGUUGUUCUCAGUUCGGAUUGUAGUCUGCAACUCGACUAUAUGAAGCUGGAAUCGCUAGUAAUCGUAGAUCAGCAUGCUACGGUGAAUACGUUCCCGGGUCU
rnacentral:rRNA from 1 species